CAAUAGCGUAUAUUAAAGUUGUUGCAGUUAAAAAGCUCGUAGUUGGAUUCCUGGUGGGAGCGAUCGGUCUGGCGCUUAGCGCGAGUACUUGCAUCGUCUCCGGCCAUCCUUGGGGAAAGUCUGUCUGGCAUUAAGUUGUCGGGCAGAGGAUCCUCAUCGUUUACUGUGAAAAAAUUAGAGUGUUCAAAGCAGGCUUAUGCCGUUGAAUAUAUUAGCAUGGAAUAAUAAGAUAGGACUUUGGUACUAUUUUGUUGGUUUGCGCACCAAAGUAAUGAUUAAUAGGGACAGUUGGGGGUAUUCGUAUUCCGUUGUCAGAGGUGAAAUUCUUGGAUUUACGGAAGACGAACUACUGCGAAAGCAUUUACCAAGGAUGUUUUCAUUAA
rnacentral:rRNA from 1 species